AACAAAAAACAAAAACUAACCUACAAAGUGAAUAAACCCCGUAGCCCCACCCCCACUUCUAUUCCAAAUCCUAAAUAGAAAACCUAGUCUUUCUCCUCUCCCUCGUAAACCUCUUCAUUUGCUUGUGUGUGACAAUCAAUUGUCCUCAUAUGCUCCUCUCGUGUUCUUUCUUUCUUCUUCGGAAAAUCACACGGUACCCACCAUUAAAUAGAUGCUGGUGCAGAGAGGAAUUAUUCUGCCAGUGGAUGAUUUUUAGCAUGACUUUGGAAGUUAGGGUUUGUGUUCUAAGGGAGGAAAAGAGUACCCACCCCUUCAGAAUUGUUCUUUCUAUUUUAUUGAGAUUUGACGGCUAGUGGUUCGUUCAGUCGGCGUGAAGUUGUUGUGAGCGGUUCAGUUGAUUCGUCAUAGCAAUGAUGAAGAUGAAGAACUCUAUGAUGGUGGAUAUGUUUAAAGAUGAGGAAUAAGGGUGUUGUUGGGCAUGGUUUGUUCAACUUGGCUUUUUCUGGGUUUUCUGAAAUUGGGAGAUGAACAUCAUGAAGAUGAUGAAAGAAAUAGAUGAAGAUGAUGAUUUUAUGGAUUUUUGUUUAUGUAUUUAUUUUUUAUUAAUUUAUUUACCCAAAAACCGUUAAAAUAUGGAUGGAAUUGGACGGAAAACCAAUUCUACAAACGAAGGUAUUUGUAGGGGACGUGUAAUGCAAUUGAUUUUUGUUAGGGACCAGAAUCGUGAAAAAGGUAUAAGUGGGGAUCAAAUGUGCAAUUAAGCCUAAAAAGUAAAGGGUACUGUAGUAAAUUUGGUUCAUGCGUUGAGAUCUUUCUUGUAUUUACUCUGCUAAUAAACUAUGAUAUUAUUACAAUUAGUACAUUAUCAACAA